rnacentral:piRNA from 1 species
UGACAUUGCUGGUUAUUAGAUUUGAGUCU